AGCGAACGCUGGCGGCAGGCUUAACACAUGCAAGUCGAACGGGCUUCUUCGGACUUCAGUGGCAGACGGGUGUGUAACACGUGGGAACGUGCCCUUCGUUUCGGAAUAACUCAGGGAAACUUGAGCUAAUACCGGAUACGCCCUUUUGGGGAAAGGUUUACUGCCGGAGGAUCGGCCCGCGUCUGAUUAGCUUGUUGGUAGGGUAACGGCCUACCAAGGCGACGAUCAGUAGCUGGUCUGAGAGGAUGAUCAGCCACACUGGGACUGAGACACGGCCCAGACUCCUACGGGAGGCAGCAGUGGGGAAUAUUGGACAAUGGGCGCAAGCCUGAUCCAGCCAUGCCGCGUGAGUGAUGAAGGCCUUAGGGUUGUAAAGCUCUUUUGUCCGGGACGAUAAUGACGGUACCGGAAGAAUAAGCCCCGGCUAACUUCGUG
rnacentral:rRNA from 1 species